rnacentral:piRNA from 1 species
UCCACAGGAGAAGAGUGACAGGCCGCAU